rnacentral:tRNA from 1 species
GCAGGAGUAGUUCAGCGGUAGAAUACAACCUUGCCAAGGUUGGGGUCGCGGGUUCGAAUCCCGUCUUCUGCUCCA